rnacentral:rRNA from 1 species
CCGUGGAGUGAUUUGUCUGGUUUAUUCCGUUAACGGGCGAGACCGCAGCCUGCUAAAUAGUUUUGCUCACCUUUUGGUGGGUCGAGACUUCUUAGAGGGACAACUCCGGUCAUAACCGGGGAGGAAGUUUGCGGCAAUAACA